CGGACGGGUGAGUAAUGUCUGGGAAACUGCCCGAUGGAGGGGAUAACUACUGGAAACGGUAGCUAAUACCGCAUAACGUCGCAAGACCAAAGAGGGGGACCUUAGGGCCUCUUGCCAUCGGAUGUGCCCAGAUGGGAUUAGCUAGUAGGUGGGGUAACGGCUCACCUAGGCGACGAUCCCUAGCUGGUCUGAGAGGAUGACCAGCCACACUGGAACUGAGACACGGUCCAG
rnacentral:rRNA from 1 species